rnacentral:rRNA from 1 species
GACGGAGGGUGCAAGCGUUGCUCGGAAUCAUUGGGCGUAAAGGGUGCGUAGGCGGCUUUUUAAGUCUGACGUGAAAGCCCAGGCUUAGCCUUGGAAGUGCGCCAGAAACUGGAAGGCUAGAGUGCCGGAGGGGAGAGUGGAAUUCCUGGUGUAGCGGUGAAAUGCGUAGAUAUCAGGAGGAAUACCGGUGGCGAAAGCGACUCUCUGGACGGUAACUGACGCUGAGGCACGAAAGCGUGGGGAGCAAACAGG